rnacentral:rRNA from 1 species
CACGUAGGGCGCGAGCGUUGUCCGGAAUUAUUGGGCGUAAAGAGCUCGUAGGCGGUCUGUCACGUCUGCCGUGAAAACCCGAGGCUUAACCUCGUGGCUUGCGGUGGAUACGGGCAGACUAGAGGUAGGUAGGGGAGAACGGAAUUCCCGGUGUAGCGGUGAAAUGCGCAGAUAUCGGGAGGAACACCGGUGGCGAAGGCGGUUCUCUGGGCCUUACCUGACGCUGAGGAGCGAAAGCAUGGGGAGCGAACAGG